CAGGCAAAUGGGAAUUGACCUCACCUGUCCAUGAGUGACCUACAGGUCUUUUCCUUAUCUAGUUCAUCAUGUGGCAUCAAAGAACUAUCAACAUAUUUGGGAGAAUGACGUGGGGUGCAGGAAUACAACUCCUCAAGUAGCUGGCUACUCAGUUCUGCUGGCAAAAGAAACGCUAUCCCAGCACACAAGUCCAGCUGCCAAAUAGCUGAAACUGGGCACAAAACUUUCUCACAGUCAGGUCAGCAAAUCUUUAUGUGCUUCUUGAAAACUGGAACUAUGUCAACAGUAGUCUUCUCCUGGAGUGCCUGGAGUCUGACAGCUCGAGUGUUCAGCACAGCUUCGAACCCCUUGCAAAAGCAAGCUGUGACCCCAGACCUGCUGCAUGCCAGGGGCUGUUUGCUCACAAGUUGAUAGAAGAAAGAAGAAUAACACUUCUCCAUCAGUGUUUUGUGAGAAAGAAGCAAUGCAAACAAGAAAGGUGAGAUUAAGCAGCAGAGCAGCAGAAGGGUCUCUUGGAAUUUUUAGUACCAACUCAGUGUCAGUGAAAAGGUCCAGGAGAGAGGUAGGGCAUUUACCUCCCUUUGACAGUUCUUUGCAGUGGCCUCUGGAGGGGCACUGUUCCUCUCCAGGUGCGUGCAAACAGAAUUGCAACACUGAGCACCCCUCUGUGGUACCUAAGUAUGUUUGCAAAUUAAGCUCUAAAUGUAGCAAUCUUCUCUAAGCAAGGUGAUAGAAAUGAAUUAUGUAGAAGACUACGUUGGAAACUGCAUGACAUAUUUUAAUGGGCUGUUAAGAUCCCCCUCAUUAACCACUUUGUGAUGCAUUUUGUUUUUGUUACAAUGUUUGUUGAAACCCUGUUUCCUAUAAAAUGCAAAAAAAUUGUUCAUAAAACACAGAUUCCAAAUGCUACAGGGACUAUUCAGAGUUGAAGUUCAACCAUAUCAAUUGCUGGUAACAACUAAAACCUGAAGGUACUAAAGUCUAGCUGUGAUAAGACACAGCUCUUCUCUGUUUUUUCCAGAGGAAUCAGAGCAGAGGGUAAUAGCUCUGGAACAGCUAUGUCACCAAACAGAUAGGAAUUCUUUUGCAUCUGGAAGGCUUAUGUCUAUAGAGUCCAUGGACUGUGUAAGUUCCAGUCAACAUAGUAUGUCCUCUCCAAAGAAGUCUCCAAGUGUUAACAUGACCAGAGGUAACCCAUUUUUCUUGGAGGCAGGCUACUCCAGCUAUGAUUGUAAUAUAAGUCUUUAAUAAACAGCUUUUUGUUUUGGCCUUCUUGUCCUUUUUGUUUCAAGAACUUGUGUUUCAUGUUAGAGUGACUGUGAAGA